AAAAUUAGUAACCAAUUAAAUGUUCAUUAGAAGUAGAAAUAACAAAUUUGAAGUAUUAUUUUUGCAAAGUAAAAAAGCAAAAUUUAUUAUAAAAUAAAUGUAAAAAUAAUAAAAUUUAAAUAUCGUUUACGAAAACUACAGUAAGGUGGUUUAUACCCUUUUUUCCCCGUAUCACGUAAAACAACAAAUUAUGCAUUUAUUUAUAUUAAUCUCAAGCCCAAGAAAAAAAGACCCUUUGCUUUUAAGUAAUUGAUAGGAAUUCAGUUUGUAGUGGUAAAAUUGAAAAUAAAAAUUUAGGAUGCAAUUAAAGGAUAAAAUUAUAAGACAACAUAAAAAUGAGGUAAGCAAUGCCAAAUGGCUUUGUUUGUGUACCUGUAAUUGUUAGUUUGCAUGACCACUUAGAUGUUCCCUCAACUGUUGCGUGCUCAGCCUGCUCUAAUGAAUCUAUGUGUGUAUCGGGAUCCACACCGAAUGUCAUCCUUAAAUUAAAUUAGUUACAUAUAUUUUUGAUUUGGGUUUUUAGACAUUCCAAGAAAAUUUUUUAAAUAUCAACAUACUAAUUUUUAUUGGCCAGGCGGUGCGCACACUUAUUUACCCUGUACCCAGAUUAAAAAAUUAAAUUAUUAUAUCAUAACAACAAAGAGGACUGCCCAACUUAUUUCUUAUUGACUCCAUUUAUGUGUUUACCUUAGCAAAAGCUAAAAACUGAAUCUUACAUGUUAGGGCGGCGAGCCCAUACAUGAAAUUAGGCCGCGAGGCUAAUAUAAUACUGGCCCCAUUUAGAACCAAAUUACACGCUUUUGUUCUUUGCCACAUAAGAUUAUUGACUGCUGAAUAAUAAUAAAAAAAUUGUAAACUUUUUGAAUAGAAAUAAACUCGCAGCUUAUUUUAUAUGUGGAUUCAUGUAUACAUGUAUGUAAUGCGUACAUGCAUAUCACACAUUUUUAAAAUACAAAGGUUAAAUACAGUUACACAAAAUCUCACAUUCCUUAUUGUAAACCAAUGUUGUAUUUUUAUAUACAUACCAAUAUAAUAAUAAUGAAUACAGCGUGUCAUUCCAAUGCGAAUUGCAAAUACAUUCACAUACAUCCAACUUAAAUUAAACCGACAACAGAAAACUAGGACGGUGAGAGGAAACUUUCAAACCUGUGAUUGCUAUUUUGGCCGACCACUUGCUUGUACCAUCCAGGACGCUUUGCUUCACAGCCUUCAUAUGACCGGCAUGACUCUUCUCCUCAACGCUGAACACGGCUCUAGUGAAUGAAUCCCAUUUUAAAGUUAACUUUCUUUUGUGUGUAAUAGUUCUGGCCGCUUACCAAACUAGCUUACUUAUUUUAGUAUUUAAGAGUUGGAGUUUGCAUAACAUCAAGUAUUAUUUUGUUUAGAUUAACUUAUUACCCCCACUUAAGGUUUUGAAAUUAAAAUAAUUAAAGGCUUUAUCACUGUAAUUAUACGCACUAGUCAACUUUUACUAUUGAAUGUAAUAUUACCUAAUCAACUCAAAAAUUUCAGGCUUCUCUCGUUCACGUUGCUUCAUACGAUCUUUCAUCGCUGUAAUAAUCGAGUUAGCCUUGUCUUCCGCACCGUGCUUUGAGCUUUUUUCGGCAGCACCUUUGAUUGUAGGAUACAAUUUAUUGCUUUUUAAAUGUACAUGUGUGGUGAAUAUACUUACGCUGCAGGCAGUCCGCAUUCAGAAGGUCCUUACAUUUUUCAUGACACUUUACACCGCACUCAGUGCAACGGACCCCUUGUCGUGCUAUCCCCCACAAAAGACCCUCACACUCGUAGCAGUACGUUGGUGACGUAGCAGUCCAUAACAAAAAAUUGUGGGGCGUUGUUGAGGAUAUAGGAUAUAUCAGGGCUUGUAGAGCUUUUUUGUACACGUGCAUUUUCUAUGGAUUGGAAACAGAUAACGAUAGAUUACAAAAAAAA
ensembl:ncRNA asRNA:CR44029 antisense RNA:CR44029